GAUGAACGCUGGCGGCGUGCCUAAUACAUGCCAGUCGAGCGAACGGACGAGAAGCUUGCUUUUCUGAUGUUAGCGGCGGACGGGUGUGUAACACGUGGAUAACCUACCUAUAAGACGGGGAUAAUUUCGGGAAACCGGAGCUGAUACCGGAUAAUAUUUUGAACCGCAUGGUUCAAAAGUGAAAGACGGUCUUGCUGUCACUUAUAGAUGGAUCCGCGCUGCAUUAGCUAGUUGGUAAGGUAACGGCUUACCAAGGCAACGAUGCAUAGCCGACCUGAGAGGGUGAUCGGCCACCCUGGAGCGGAGACACGGUCCAGACUCCUACGGGAGGCAGCAGUAGGGAAUCGUCCGCAAUGGGCGAAAGCCUGACGGAGCAACGCCGCGUGAGUGAUGAAGGUCUUCGGAUCGUAAAGCUCUGUUAUUAGGGAAGAACAUAUGUGUAAGUAGCUGUGCACAUCGUGACGGUACCUAAUCAGAAAGCCACGGCUAACUACGUG
rnacentral:rRNA from 1 species